CCCUUAGAUGUUCUGGGCUGCACGCGCGCUGCACUGAUGCGCUCAACGAGUUUAUGACCUUGCCCGGAAGGGUUGGGUAAUCUUCUUAAAACGCAUCGUGAUGGGGAUAGAUUAUUGCAAUUAUUAAUCUUCAACGAGGAAUUCCUAGUAAACGCGAGUCAUCAGCUCGCAUUGAUUACGUCCCUGCCCUUUGUACACACCGCCCGUCGCACCUACCGAUUGAAUGCUCAGGUGAGCCAUUCGGACUUUCAUCAUGCUGGUUUCCAGUUUUGAUGAAGGAAAGUCUUGCGAACCUUAUCAUUUAGAGGAAGGAGAAGUCGUAACA
rnacentral:rRNA from 1 species